rnacentral:rRNA from 1 species
UACAGAGGUCCCGAGCGUUGUUCGGAUUUAUUGGGCGUAAAGGGUGCGUAGGUGGCCAAGUAAGUUGGAUGUGAAAUCCCGGGGCUCAACCCUGGAAUUGCAUUGAAUACUGGUGGACUAGAGUACCGGAGAGGAAACUGGAAUUUACGGUGUAGCAGUGAAAUGCGUAGAGAUCGUAAGGAAGACCAGUGGCGAAGGCGAGUUUCUGGACGGUAACUGACGCUGAGGCACGAAGGCCAGGGGAGCAAACGGG